CAGCAGUCGCCACGGUAAUACGUAGGUCCCGAGCGUUGUCCGGAUUUAUUGGGCGUAAAGCGAGCGCAGGCGGUUUCUUAAGUCUGAUGUGAAAGCCCCCGGCUCAACCGGGGAGGGUCAUUGGAAACUGGGAAACUUGAGUGCAGAAGAGGAGAGUGGAAUUCCACGUGUAGCGGUGAAAUGCGUAGAGAUGUGGAGGAACACCAGUGGCGAAGGCGACUCUCUGGUCUGUAACUGACGCUGAGGAGCGAAAGCGUGGGGAGCGAACAGGAUUAGAUACCCCCGUAGUCCCUGUCUCUUAUAC
rnacentral:rRNA from 1 species